UGAACCAUAAGUUAAACAUGUAUGCCUCUGGAUGACUUGGUGACAUUGCGAUUAUAUUAGUAUGGUGUUAAAGGAAAUGACUUUUUUUUUGGUCACCAGUUCUCCUUUGUUUACAGACAGAGUGAUUUCUGAUUGCAGAGGUUAGAACAACAUACCUAUUAGGAAACUUUUAACAGGAGAGGACCCUAAAG